CUAAAAACAGGCCCAACUCCACCAACAGAGCACCUGUUCACGGCUGGGAUGCCCCGCAGCACUGUGGACUUGGCGGGCCGCUGCUGCCGGAGUACCAGAGAAUCCACCCUGCAGAGACAGAGCCCUUUGAUAUGUGACCACUUCAAAACCACACACACAAUGGAAGCAGUCAAUUGUGGAAAUAGCACAAGUUGACGUUGUGUGGGCCAGGUUUGCUGGAAAGCCAACCCUGCACCUUAUUUUUUCCACCCGUGUAUAUAUUCUGCGGAGAAACAUAUUUUACAUUCUGGACAUGUGUAAAAUCAUGCUAACAAAUUCAUUUUUUGUACCCACACGAUUCCAAAUUUCAAACUAUUGCACCAUUGGCGAGAGCAUAUGGGACAAGGCAGGUGAAACGCAGUGACCUGGCAAACAGUCCAAAGACCGAUGAGAGUCGGGUACACGUCAGAAGGCACUGGGUGUGUUGGCACAAACAGCAUCCAGAAUGUGGAUCAGAGAGACAGCCAGCACUCCUUAGCUUAUUACUCUCUUAUUAGGAACAUUUUUGCCUUGCAUGGUUUGGCAGAGUCCCGCUAGCCGCCCUCUUCACAUGGCCCGGGCUCUGUCAGAGCUGAUCAAAAGACAUUUCUUCACAUCUCCAGACGCCAAGGAAAAAAGGAGAAGAAAAGAAGGAGAGAAGAAAAGAGCCAGAAGGGGGCAUACUGCUCUCUCUUUACUCUGGUCUUUUGGUGAAUGAAGACUUUUCACAAUGCCCUCUCUUUUUUUCUUCAUUUUUUUUUUCAUUCUUCCAUUGGCAAAGAAAGAGAAAGAAAAAAAAAAACAGCAUCCCCAUCGCGUUUCACCAAAUUGUUUUUUGCCAUAUCAAAAACAAUUGUCCUCAGGUGAAGAAUGCGCCUGCACAAUUACAACUAUUCCGGGGGGGGAGAAAGAGGUCUUCACAAAUCUGACUGGGCUUCCAGGCAGCCAAGACCCCCUCGAAGUGGUAAUGAAAAGUGUAACUUUAGCCUCCCAGCUGUACGUCUCAAUCCAUAAUCCUUCCCCAAAAACCUCACCGUAGUGCCGCCUACCACUCCCAUGGCGUUCCCAGCCUGUGCCGGGCUGGGCCUGUACUCUGAUUUAUGAGGCAGUCCUGUGUCAUACUCUCAACCUGAAAAGGAUUUCUUCUCUUAUGUGUACCAGGGUGGUCAGGGCAGCUCUCUGGAAAGACAGAAAGCCCCGUCUCCCGGGCCUCAAUCACCAGAGAGUCUUCUCACCCCUCUGAGCCAAUAACCAGGACAUUUUGGACAUUACCAGAAUCAGACGAGUCUUCAGUGUUUCAAUAGUGGUGUGUUUCAGCAGUGCAGAGGUCAGAGUCCAUGCAACCCGUGCCUACACAGCCGCAUGGCCAUAAUUUGCUCUCAGGUCAGGCCGAGGGCCCAGCAGGCUCCCGGCACAGGUCACAGAGGGCCUCAACAUCCCAGGGAUGAGAUUCCAGACUGGCAUGAAGAAGAGUGUUUGAUGUGGACCUGAGCUGGGCUAUGUUACCAUGUUGCUAUGCCUUUAAUUAGCUCCAGCAGCUGCUACUUCCUGGUGGACGGGCCCUGGCAAACCGCAGUGUCUCUGUAAUCCCUCACAGGUGACAGUCAGUCGCACGUCAGCUCAUUGCGCGGUGACAGGCAGUGUGUUCUGCUUUGAGUCAGGUAGUGGAGCUUUAGUAAGCAACACCGCUGUUUACCAAGUUAAUUAACUGUGAAGUGACUGCAGACACUAAAUAAAAUAAAAUAAAAAAAUGCCCACGGCGCUAUAAUGACCACAGCGUGUUUCCAAAUAUGUUAUGCAAAUACGUCUCUAAGCACCAAUCCCCUGCCCAUUAUUUUUUUUUUUUACAACUUUAGGUGUCUGUUUUCUGAGGAUGCAAUCAUGAUUAAGAGACUGCAAAGUUCUCUUGGUGACAGUAAAAGUGCCACUCCGCAUUGUUUAUCUGGAUUUCCAGCUUGCGCAAAGACAUCUAAACCCCGGGAAAUUACCCUCCGAGGACGGACGGCUUGAAAUUGAUGCCAGAGCAGAAGAGCGCACCUUGCUCCCCGCUCUCCUUUGUCACACCCAGGUUGGUGGAUCUUUCCUUAAAACUACCAGAGAUGAAAAAACUGGGAGACUUGGCAGCUGGCUAGGGCAUACUAAUACCCUGGACUCAUUAACUUAAUGGGGGCCAGAUUCCCCGCGCUGAAUCUGCACUGAUGCCCUUUGAGUUUGCCGGGGCCACAGGGUGUGCAGCACAUUGAGAGCCCUGACCGGCAUAUUGAACGUAUUUUAAUGGAAACCUUUUUUAGACUCGCCGCCGUUAAGGCCCCGCACCUCUCUGUGUGAUCUCGUCAGAUAGCCACUCUAUCCUCAGAUUCAGGCCCGGAGAGGGGGGAGGGGACCUCGCGCGUUAAAUCAGGCCAGAGGUGGCCGUAUCUCAACUGAGGCCAUUCUUUGCUGGAGAUGUGGAUCCUGGAGACGUGGCUCUGAGUGAGCUUUGAUGUAUUAACUUGCCCCGCGUAGGACUGGAACAGGAAGAGGCCGACGUUCAGCGGGAUUGCCUCUUAUUGGACAGCCGUCUACAGAGUGUUGAUUUAACUACUCAAUUCUACCAUUCACCUAGCCACUUAAGGCUGCACUAUAAAAUUGAUUCAGUGCCACAUAUGCCCAUUAUAGACAUAAUUGCCCAAUGUGAAGACUCCACUGCCAAUCACUUCAUUAUAGGCAAGCCUCAGGAUUAUAUAGAAUCCAAUAAGGAUGCUCUGAAUUGCAAGAUGUGAAGGGCAACUAAAAAAGAUAUUGUUUUUGAUGGCAAUAUAUUGAUACCAUGGGAGGAAUAGAAUAUUAAUACAUGAAUUUAGCAUAUUUGCCCGACAGCAAAAAGAUGAAUUGAUAAGAAAAGAAAGCUGGUGAAUUUGCAUGACAAAAAAGUCCCUUUAGAGUACUAAUAUAUCACCCUCAUGGAUAACAGAAUUGCAUGUGCCAGAUGUUGAGAUAGGGAGAAUUGAUCUUCGAUGAUAUUAAGAUAUUAAGCCUUUACUAUUUUGAGCUUUAAGUGAUAUAGGAGUUAGGUAUCAGCAAACAAAGGCGUGUAUAUCUUUACUUGCCCUUAGCUGAGAGGACUAUAAUCUUGCUUUCACUUCUUCUUGACUGCGUGCUCUUGAACGCCACGAAGCAGGAAAACCUGUCCGACAUUGAUGAGAUUAUACGCGGUCAGGAAUGAGCGGGCAGGACUCAUCCCCGCGGACAGAAACACCCUUUAACCGCAGCAGAAUAAGUAGAGUGGAUACUGACAGGAAGAUGCAUCGUAUGAGACAGACAACGAGGCUCCAGCUGCCGAAUAUAAUGAAUAAACAGAAAUCCAGUCACGCUAAAAAUGGCUGACUCAUGUUCGCAGCAUAGGAGCGAUCGCAUUUCUCAAAUACAACUCUCUCUCUCUCUCUCUCUCCCGCUCUAUUGUGCCCUCGACGUGUGGCAAAACAACACCAUGCAUACCUUUUAAAGAAACCCAUGUUGGGAAACCAUUGGAUUCUCAUAGCUGGCUUUUGACAGUAAUUAUUUCAUGAAGUCUUUGAUUUGAAGCUUGAUCGCCACAGCUGCAACAUCGGCGGGUACGUCUUCUCAUUAGCGAUUCCAUAAGCAGAGAGCAAGGAACUGCUGUAGCGGCUCCCACUUACAUGCCUCCCACUCUAACGUGUGGUGGUAAUUUAUUCUCUCCACAGUGCUCAUCAUUCUGAUGCAACUCACACAGUGACAGGAAUCCAUCUCUGUGGUACCCGGCAACAAAGAGGGAGGUGGGCUAAAGGGAGGGCGGCGCACGUAUUCCUGCUACCACAAUCAGAGGGGAGAGGAGCGGUUGCCAGGCAGGUUUAGAACAUCCGUACAGGCCACAUUUGUGCCAGGCGGACAUCCUGUGAACACUAGAAGCAGAGCGAGGAGGUAAUAACAGUUCGCCGGCUGCGAUUUGAUCGCAUGUAAGCAAUCUUCUUCUGCCAAAUACUUUCUCAGAGUAUACGGCUCAAGCACUUCAAAGUUGAGUACUAUAUAGAGAGUAUGAUUCAUUUGGCAGCUCAUGUUGUCCAGCUUCAAAAAGCUAAAGCUAGUCAGAGACACACUGUGGGCUGUUUUCAGCUUCAGAGGAGGGAAAGAAUUUGGCUUGAGCUUAGGCCGCCCAUCCCCAUCCUGGGAUGGGCUCUUUUUCAUCUUAUCGUGGUCUUAGCGCAUUGGCGUGGCGACUAUGUGCUUCACAGGUGGGAGUCUGCCUCUGUCAAAUAAGCCAGUUCACUAAGGACGGGAUUUGCCGCUGUUAUUUUUCUAUUAGGGAAGAAUUAUGUUAAGCCUUUAGAGGCCAUCUUUGUGUUGCUAUGGCAGCCCAUAUUUCCUACCGGGUUGAGACCUUGAAUGACUACAGUGCAAAGCCAAGUAGCCCCCAGACCCUUUGAGGAUUAGAACCAGGGUCUCAUAGUUAUGCAAAACACCUCUGAUAUGAUUGAACCUUGAAUAGUUGAAUGACAAAGUUUAUUGAGAUUGCCUCUCUUUUCAUCUGAUUAUUGUCGUCUGAUUAUUCCCAAUCACUUGGCGUGGCUUCAAACGCAGAUUUUCAAAUGGCUAUUGUUUAGGACAACACUGAGAGAUUUUUUCUCUCACAUGUCCACAAACCUCAUUUCGUUGACUAUUGGAACAAGGAAGCAUGAUUCAUGGUGGUAGAAAUGAAAUGCAAAGACAUUCACCAUCCUGAAAAGGAAUACAGCAAACUGCUUCUCAAUAUACGGCAGCGCUAAAAAUAUCUGUGCAUGUUAAUUGUUGAUUUCCUUACAUUGAGCGUUUUAGAUUUUUGAAAAAUGUCCAUCACAAGCUUGUGUAAACCAAGGCUUUAUCUACAAACUGCUUGUUGGCUUCCAUCAACAUCAAACAACAGUCGAUUCUAAAUCAUAAAACUCAAUAUGUAUCAUGGUAUGAUCAAUGUGCUGAUUACAUCCAUGACACUGCUGCCCACUCAAAGCCUCAUAUUCAGUUUGAGCUGAGUGUUCAUCCAUAGAUCCGAGAUCACCUUUUUGUAAUUCACAGACUUGGGAAUUUCCUUCACAUAGUACCCAAAAUGCAUUUCAGCCUCCUAAGCUAAAGCCUCCGAGUUGCUGUGAGCAUCAAACACAACAUCUUGCUUCUGAAAGUGAUUUUACAAACCCCGGGUCCCGUGCAGCCAAAUCAAUGGAAAUUGUUUUUUUCCUUCUGGAAUUUUGUCAUAACGUCCCCAACUGUUUUCAGACCAGCCAUCAAAGGCUCGACUCGACUCGCAGACAUGUAUAGACAGCCACUCAGAGCUGACACGGGGAGGAGGCUUUGAACGUAUGAGAUUGACACUAUUGUGGUCACAAAGCACAACAGGAAACGACUUUGAAGGGGAAAGCGCGCUCUGUAUUGGAUUUCACUUUCGAAAUGGUGGCCGGAGACGGGCCCAAGUAUCAGGCGCGUUGGAUUGGUGUAACAUAAAACACGGAAACCAGACACGGGCGCCGCACGCCACUUCUGCAGUGUCCAAAACAGAAGUGUGAGGAGGUCCAAACUUUUGGUAAACCGCGGAUGAAUACACGCUGAAUCUUUUCUUAAAUCGGAGAUUUGUUGCACACCGUCUCUUCCUUCUGUAUCUUGGGACGUCGCUGGCUUGUGAUGCCAAUGAAAAGUUGACAAUAUAUCCAAGAGAGCGGUACUUUUUUGACUUCACAAAGUAAAACGUCGCCAUCAGAGCCAUGUCUUGUUGGCAGUUUGGGAAUUGAUCAGUCUCAAUCCCGAGCUGCAUGGUUGUCAACUGGCAGGUCUGCUGGAGAUGACAGAUUUUCCGACAGUGCCUUGUCAAUGGCUGCACUUGAGUGAAAUCCCCAGCCAUCUUGGCUCACCGCUGAAGUCAUAUCCAUCAUCGGAUUCUUGACAAAUUCGUCACAGCCGUCUCUCAAUCUAAUUGGUCUUUGAGGUUCCUGUAAGACAAAGACUUCUAAUCUCAGACAGAGUGUGUGUGUGUGUGUGCGUGUGUUUGAAAAGUGCUUGCCAUUGAAUACUUCUCUGCUCUUUGAGCCUGUGUUCAGCGAAGUUUGAAAUACAUGACAGUCUCAUUUUAGGUGCUCUGAUGUCACACAGUCAUUCUGGCUUAAAAGUUCACUCAAUAUGAGGUUUGGUCUACUUUGAUGUCUCUAGUGAAGCGGUUUUAGCAUGCUAUAUCUUCCGCCGCUGUUCUCUGUCACCCACUCCUGCAAAGACUGACGGGAGCUGCCGGAGAUGGGGCUCAGCCAUUUCUUCCUGGUGACUACAAACUAAAGACACGGGGAAGGUGAACUCAGGCAGCACCGUGACAAGCAGAAUGUUGCAACUUCUGCUGGAUGCAUCGUAUUAUCGAUAAAUGUUAGAAGCUUCUUCUUUUUCAAACAGCAUGCAAGACAAAGAUGUCCAGCACCUGUUAGGGGUGCAUUUUAUCAUUCAUUUACAUCAUAUAAAACACUGAUGAGAAGAGACAAAACAGAAUAACACAAGUCAUUUAUGACACACCAAAAAGUAAAACAUGUUAAAUUUGUUGUAAAAAGUUGCAAUUCGUUUAGUUCCUUCUCCUUAUGCAACAUAUACUUUUUUCUAUCUGAGGGAGAGAUUGUGGAGAGAAGGGGGGGGGGGCUACGUGAUGAAGAUCUAGUAAUCUUGUUUUAUGCUCAUGACGGCGCGAGGAGAUCCUCCGCCCCCCUGCGACGUAACGCUCACCUGAAGAACCCCCCCGGAGCUCCACGUGACUGCGCCGCCGCUCGCAUCUCCCUGUCUUGAGAAUUGGGAUUUAGUGGAGGAUUAAAGCAGAAUAUUUCAAUUUAGCGGCGGAAUUUACCUGGCUGUGCCAAAGUAAUUACCCCUUCUGGAUAAACGCUAUUGUGGAAAAACCCAUUUACGAACGGCGAAUAUAUAAACGGCUCAAAGUCAAAUGAAAAGAGGAAAUGUAAUGAAAGCAAUUUUAAAUAUCGCAAGGCAGAUGCCAGAAAUCUUAUUGUAUUACCUUAAAGUCGCGAGAGAAUGCUGCAUUCAGUGUGAAAAGACUGUGUCCACAACUGAGAGGAGAUCAUUUUUAAUCUUCUUCUUUUUUUUGAUAUUGUGAUCGUGAACAGAUAGAGGAAUAGUAUUUGAUGCGUUAAGGAAAAGCAAACAUGAGUCUGAAAUGUCUGUGAUUAAUUUGUAGCCUGAUUAUAAUUGCAAAAGAAUUCUGUGCGUCACUAUUUAGUGUAGUGAACAGGCCUCAUGUAUAACAUAUUAAAACAGAAAAAAAGAAGAGAAUGACAGCAUUUCUUUAAUUUGUACAUUUGGUAAAAUCCGUUGUGAAAACAUGAAAAACAAUUACUUGUCAAACUGAUGAAUAUGUAAAUCAUAAAUAGGAGAUAGAAAGUACGCCAGAAACAAUUAGCUAAUAAUACUUUACCCGAAUAUGCCCUAAUUUACAAUAUUAGUGCGUUUAAAGUCCUGUUUCAAAACGAAUUUCCUUCACAAGAAAACGUGACUUCUGGUGAACAAAACACGUGCAUCUAAUAUUUUAAUAAUAACGCAAUCAUAUCGAUCCUAAUUCUGCCAGUUCUGCAGAGUUGAGCCAUCGCAUUUGUUUUAGUAAGGCCUGGAAACAAUAAACCUGCACAUCACCCUUUUCCAAGCAGUUUAAUAAAUAAUAAAAUCUCAAAUUGGUAAUAAUGUAUUUUAAGAUUUGAAACCGGAAUAAGCAAUAAAUAAAUAAAUAUGCAGAUGCUAUUUGAAAAGAGAAAAUCAUGCUUUUGAUAUCUAUGCAUUAACACAUUAUCUGCAUUGAAUUCAAACUCUACGAGUGGGUCAUUUACGUUGCCUUUCAGUCAGAGAGAGAGAAAUAAAACAGUGGCGUGUCCGUCUGUCCGGGCUGAAAUGCAGGGAAGGAGACAGAGGCCCUCUGUGUGUAUAACCCGUGUAAACAGGGCCGCUCGGCAUUGUGUAAAGUGGGUGGAUUAGCCGGCGGCUUUUGUUGGACGUGGUGUGUACACACGGACGCUGAUUCAGCUCUCCUGAAGCCAUUUCGGCCCUCACAACCUUAAGGAAGUCUUGCGUUACCAAACCUUCAGCCGGAUGUGAUCUAAAUGGGUCCCCGUUGAAACGGUGUCGUCAUGAACUGAUCGCACGAGGCCCUGAGUCGGUUUAAUCGCCACCGAACCGAGACCUUUUAUUAUCGAAUCAAAAAAAGAACCCACCGACGCCUCAACGACUGAUUUGAGUGACGUGAAGUUCGUCAGUGAAAUGAGUCCGCAUGCUGAACCUCCUCCACGGCGCGCGCGCACACGUCUCAGAGCCCACCCGCCGCGCGUGCACCGCGCAUGGCGGAUAUCGAGGUGUAAAUACAAACAAUUUGCACAUUUCCUAAUAAUUGCAGUAUUUGGACCAAUUAGGCCAGAUAAUCUAACGGCUGGUUUAUUAUCUGUGGUUAAUUAAUCGUUGUAUCAAUCAUCCUAAUAAGAUCCAUCCCAAUCAAUUAAACGAGGACUUGUAAUCCUCACUGUCAAGCGUCCCCGCCUCCACGUCGGGAAAGGGAUCCUUAUUUUAAAAUUCCUUGAUUUUGCAACUUCGCAGAUGCAACGCAGUCCCCUCUUUAAUUUCAUCAACUUGUUUCUAUCCCAAACUUUUAUUGACUCUCUCCAUUUCGUGCUGCCUUAUUGUGAAUAUGAAAUUGAAGUUCUCUGAGAAGAAAGAGGAGACUCUGUUUCAUCGGGCACCAAUUAAAUCGGCCUAUAUGUAACUUCACGACACUUUGAUCAUUUUAAUGACUAAAUAAAGAAGGUCAGAAUAUUUAUAAUGAAGAAAGAGUAACCAGAGUAGCCAGGAGGCCUCAAUGUGUUAUCAGUAUUAUCAGUAGCAUCCACCUGCAUCUAGCACGGAGCCUUCCGCUCCUUUUGAAUGUUUUCGUCCAAUUGAGUUUGAAUUAUUUAAUAUGUCUAUUUAAUUUAUAAUUUGCUGCAUGAUAUUUAAAUCGAGCUGCUGAUUUAUUUAAUCGUGAAAGGUAUAUGAAACAAUGUGUAAUAAACAACACGAAGGGUACAAACGUGUGAUCAGAAUUUAUUCCAUGGUAUGAUUUUGUGUUAUUGUCCGACCCAUUGUUUCACACCUGCUUAAACCAAUAAACACAUAAAUCAUCUUCACUUCAUCCAAAUUGUGCUUGUCACCAUCUUCCUCUUCAGUGACACAAUAUAGUAAAAGGAGUAAAUAUUCGUAUUGAUGUCAUAAUUACAAUAAAACAAACGUUUUGCAUCUUUGGCUUUUCAUUGUGUAUCCGUUAGUGUCUUAAAAAUACCGUUUCCAUUAGGCUUAAGAUCGCCGACACGCACGCGCUGACUGACUUUGAUUGCGCCUAAUUGGAAAUGAUUUGCGUCAUCGCGUCUGUUUGUGGGUGAAUCUGCUGAGGAUGGUUAUCAACACGUGUCGGUCGCCUCUUCAACGGGUCAUCGCAGUUUCUCCCGUUUCUUCAGACUAACCAUUCUAUUUGUGUUUGUAUUCAGAACCCAGACAGGUAAGGGAUUAGAUCCUGUCACAACAGGGAGCUUUGAACCGAACGAAGGGUUAAUUGUCUUCAACACACAAUGCGCUUGUGAAUGCGACGUUCUUCACGGCAGCGCUGUUAUUGAGAAAAAAAGCUUCCCAGAAAAGUUUGUCUUUUUCAUUUUUUUCUAAAAAUAGCAAAUAAAAGAAAGAAAGAAAGAAAAUAAUGGGAGCUUUUGUUAUUGUGAGUAUUGUAAAAAAAAAAACUGUAAAGUAAAUACGCCCCUCUCUCUACAUAUGACAGAGGGUCUUAAUUAUACAUCAGUUCAAAGACUUAAGGAUUUUGCUCCCCUAUCUGUUCCUAUGAGAUACUGACCAACAAUUAGGGGAAUAAUUCAGCAGCUAUACUUCAAAGUACAACGCUGCAUAAGUCACAGGUGCAAUAAAAAAAUGCAUCCUUGCAAUCCCAAGUUUUUAUUGCAAAAAGGGUUAGCGUUACAAUGUGGGAACCUGUCUGCUUUCCUCCCAACCGGGAUCAGUUAAGAUUCCCGUGUGCUUGUGACAAGAAGAAGAUGUCCUGCGAAAUGAAGCAGAAUCUGACAUGAAAGACUCAUCCCUGCCUCCCCUCCUUGAAUGUAAGAUAAGUACUUUGAGAGGUAUGUGCCAGAGCCACGAGGGAAUGAGCUUUACUCACAGAUGUAACACGUUUAAACCUACUGAUGCAAUGAAAGCUUUACAUUCAAUGGACAGCAAGGGAAGAUGAGUCAUGCGUAUUUUGUCUUUGAUGAACAUUAUUUGAUAAGCCAUUAGAAUGAACUGUACAAAGCUCACAUUAUAUCUCACUGGAUUCUUAGAGACACGGUCAUUUCAUUAUUUAGCGUGGAAAUGUCCAUGGAGCUAACUGCGCCUUAUUUCUGCCCGUCCCGUAGUUGUCUUUUUGUUUGACUGCGCCUCCAUGUGCCCCUGUGCCAAUGCGAGUGCGUGCCCAUAUGUGGGGGUACGAGUGCUCCACUGUUACUCUGUGCCUGUGUGUGCGCCCAUGUGUGUUGUGUGCAGCCCAUUAGUGGAGUUUAACCCCUGUGUUCAGGGAGUCACAUCCCCUCAACCCACCGGGCUCCAUUCUUACUGCAGCACGUUAACAUUUUAUUCUCCCCCCCCCUUCACUUUUGUCCUAAGAGGGCAAUUAAGGAAACAAACGUUUUCCCCAAGAUAAGCUGGCUGCCAGCUUUGCAUACUAAUGCAUUGCCAAGUGGUUACAAAUAGUGAGUGCUCUAAUUACUGCCACUGUUUUCAAUCAGAAAUUGCUCAAUUUCCCAGGAUGAGGUCUCCAUGGCUGGAGAAAAAAAAAAAAAA